rnacentral:rRNA from 1 species
GAUGAACGCUGGCGGCGUGCCUAAUACAUGCAAGUCGAGCGAACGGACGAGAAGCUUGCUUUUCUGAUGUUAGCGGCGGACGGGUGAGUAACACGUGGAUAACCUACCUAUAAGACUGGGAUAACUUCGGGAAACCGGAGCUAAUACCGGAUAAUAUUUUGAACCGCAUGGUUCAAAAGUGAAAGACGGUCUUGCUGUCACUUAUAGAUGGAUACGCGCUGCAUUAGCUAGUUGGUAAGGUAACGGCUUUUCAAGGCAACGAUGCCUAGCCGACCUGAGGGGGGGAUCGGCCACACUGGAACGGAGACACCGUCCAGACGCCUGAGAGAGGCAGCAGUCGGGAAUCUUCCGCAAUGGGCGAAAGUCUGACGGAGCAACGCCGCGUGAGUGAUGAAGGUCUUCGGAGCGUAAAACUCUGUUAUGAGGGAAGAACAGAUUUGUAAGUAACUGUGCACAUCUUGACGGUACCUAAUCAGAAAGCCACGGCUAACUACGUG